CCUACGGGUGGCAGCAGUGAGGAAUAUUGGUCAAUGGGCGCGAGCCUGAACCAGCCAAGUAGCGUGAAGGAUGACUGCCCUACGGGUUGUAAACUUCUUUUAUAAAGAAAUAAAGUGAAUCACGGGUGCCUUUUUGUAUGUACUUUAUGAAUUAGGAUCGGCUAACUUCGUGCCAGCAGCCGCGGUACUACGGAGGAUCCGAGCAUUAUCCGGAUUUAUUGGGUUUAAAGGGAGCGUAGAUGGGGUGUCAAGUAAGUUGUGAAAGUUUGGGGCUCAACCGUAAAAUUGCAAUUGAUACUGGCAGUCUUGAGUACAGUUGAGGUACGCGGAAUUCGUGGUGUAGCGGUGAAAUGCUUAGAUAUCACGAAGAACUCCGAUUGCGAAGGCAGCUUACUAAACUGCCACUGACAUUGAUGCUCGAAAGUGUGGGUAUCAAACAGGAUUAGAUACCCCAGUAGUC
rnacentral:rRNA from 1 species